AAUUGACUUGCUUAUUGCACCACAUGUGUUUUUCUUUGAAACAAACUUGCUUUGGCGGUGGGCCCAGCCUGCCGCCAGAGGUCUAAACUUACAACCAAUUUUUUAUCAACUUGUCACACCAGAUUAUUACUAAUAGUCAAAACUUUCAACAACGGAUCUCUUGGUUCUCGCAUCGAUGAAGAACGCAGCGAAAUGCGAUACGUAAUAUGAAUUGCAGAUAUUCGUGAAUCAUCGAAUCUUUGAACGCACAUUGCGCCCUCUGGUAUUCCGGAGGGCAUGCCUGUUUGAGCGUCGUUUCUCCCUCAAACCGCUGGGUUUGGUGUUGAGCAAUACGACUUGGGUUUGCUUGAAAGACGGUAGUGGUAAGGCGGGAUCGCUUUGACAAUGGCUUAGGUCUAACCAAAAACAUUGCUUGCGGCGGUAACGUCUACCACGUAUAUCUUCAAACUUUGACCUCAAAUCAGGUAGGACUACCCGCUGAACUUAAGCAUAUCAAAA
rnacentral:rRNA from 1 species